CACGUAGGUGGCGAGCGUUGUCCGGAUUUACUGGGCGUAAAGAGCGCGCAGGCGGUCGUUCAAGUCGCGUGUGAAAGCCCCCGGCUCAACUGGGGAGGGUCACGCGAUACUGAUCGACUCGAAGGCAGGAGAGGGUAGUGGAAUUCCCGGUGUAGUGGUGAAAUGCGUAGAUAUCGGGAGGAACACCAGUGGCGAAGGCGACUACCUGGCCUGUUCUUGACGCUGAGGCGCGAAAGCUAGGGGAGCAAACGGG
rnacentral:rRNA from 1 species